AUGCCACCGAAGAAGAAUGUUGGGGGGCCUAAGGGCAAGGGUCCUGCGAAGAAGAUUCCAGCAAAGCGCCCGCCUCCACCAAGUGGUCCUUCAACCGAGGAUGAAGACUCUGCACAGUUGUUGGGAGUGUUGGUCGCCCGGAUCGAGGCACUGGAAAGAGAGAAAGCAGCGGCUGCUGCUGCGGAGGCGCAGAAGGCUGGUGGGGGCAGUAACACCGGGUUAAUUAGGUCCUUAUUUUCCCGUAUUUCUGCCUUAGAAGGGGAAAGGAGUGCUGCAGUGCCUGUCGCUGAUGCGAGCCUGGUUACAUCUACGCCGGUGACCGCUGAAGCUGUUCCAUCUACUUCGGCGGCAGCAGCUGAGAUGAGAAGUGCCGUAUCCGCUUUAGAACCCACCCUGUUGGCAAGUAGACGACGCGUCCUGAUUUGCGGGCACAGUUAUGUGCACUGGGCAGAGCGACAGGCGCGCAGAGGUCCCUACGACCAGCAUCUCGGCCUCGCUUCCUUGGCUUUUGUUGAAUGGAGGGGAAGAAGAGGUCUGCGGUGGGAGGGUUUGCUCCCUUUGUUGUUUGGGUCAGGGGUCCGUUUUCCACCUGACCUUAUUGUUAUGCAUUUGGGAGGCAAUGAUUUGGGGCUGCUUAAAGGCAGGGCCCUUUUUCUCCAGGUUUUAAAUGACAUGCACAAGAUCCAGGAGGUGUGGCCUUAUACCGGAUUGGCAUAGUCAGCAAUUAUUCCUAGGCCACGUUGGCCCUAUGGGGACGGUAAAAAAUUGGACAAAGCAAGGAAACGGGUCAAUAGGGCCCUGCGGAAGGUUUUGGAAAAUGGCAUGGGUUACUAUAUCCCUCAUGACACCAUUAGAUUCAAUGAUUCGACGAUGUAUCGGACUGAUGGGAUCCAUCUGUCCGAACUGGGCAACCAAAUUUUCUUAGCGGAUCUGCAGAAAGGAAUUAGGGAAAUUCUUUCGAAUUUGGUGGGGGUCAGGAGCUAAAUAGACAUUUGCUCCUGAACUGUGGCGGAAUGCUUAGGGGAAUCUCUUAUUUUGGUGUGCACCACAAGGCACCUCUGUUUUGGUGUUGGCCAGAGGCGUGAAUCCUCGCUUAGGGUUUUUACAGCCCCGGCGAGGGUGAACGAUUAUGGCCUUGGAAUGGGAGACUUUGACCUCAUUUGUUUCGGAGGCAAAACUCUCCAACACAUUCCCCUUUAGGUCAUCCAGGUUUAGAUAGACUGGGGACCUGGUGUUUCGCCCUAAAUUCAGUCUUAAUGGAUGGUCGGGUAUGACCACUAAUAUCGGCUUAUGCCUUACCAAAUUCUUAGAUGGCUAAGGAUUUUUGGCCCUAGUUCCAAAUUAAAGUUAAAUAGGUAACUAUCAAUAAAGUUGCCCAGUUUUAAACCCAAGCUUACUUGUCUUGUCUCGUUAUUUCGGAGGGUUGGAGGGCAAAUGCUCAUAUGAUAACUGAUUUGGUGGAUCUGCAUUGGAUGCAAUUAGCAAAAAGACUCAGGCUUAAUACAUCUCUAACCAAAACUUGAGAGCAACAAUUCUCAAUUAAUGCAGUUACCUACAAUUAGUUUUAGCUUUAGUUAUUUUUGUGAGGUUGUGAUGAAGUCACAUUUCAAAAGUAAUAUCAAUAAAAAUGGUAGGGGAAUUGAUACAACAAGCAAUACUUUCUAGUACUUUUCUAGAACCACUUUGAGUGUUAUUUUUGAAUUAAAUAUUCAAAAGAAAAUUUCAAAACAUAGCAAAUCAUCAGAUGCAAAAUAGUGUUACUUUAAAAAAAUUACCAUGACUAGAAGGUAUGAAUUGCUUAACACAUGUAUUGAAGCUCAGUACAACGUCAUUAUACAUGUACAUAUGCUUCAACCACCUCCGCAGUUCUCUACUGCACAAGAAAUGACACCAGU
rnacentral:lncRNA from 1 species